rnacentral:rRNA from 1 species
UACGUAGGGAGCAAGCGUUGUCCGGAAUCACUGGGCGUAAAGGGUGCGUAGGCGGGUCUUUUAAGUCAGGGGUGAAAUCCUGGAGCUCAACUCCAGAACUGCCUUUGAUACUGAAGAUCUUGAGUUCGGGAGAGGUGAGUGGAACUGCGAGUGUAGAGGUGAAAUUCGUAGAUAUUCGCAAGAACACCAGUGGCGAAGGCGGCUCACUGGCCCGAUACUGACGCUGAGGCACGAAAGCGUGGGGAGCGAACAGG